AUUGAACGCUGGCGGCAGGCUUAACACAUGCAAGUCGAGCGGGGUGAUGGUGCUUGCACUAUCACUUAGCGGCGGACGGGUGAGUAAUGCUUAGGAAUCUGCCUAUUAGUGGGGGACAACAUCUCGAAAGGGAUGCUAAUACCGCAUACGUCCUACGGGAGAAAGCAGGGGAUCACUUGUGACCUUGCGCUAAUAGAUGAGCCUAAGUCGGAUUAGCUAGUUGGUGGGGUAAAGGCCUACCAAGGCGACGAUCUGUAGCGGGUCAGAGAGGAUGAUCCGCCACACUGGGACUGAGACACGGCCCAGACUCCUACGGGAGGCAGCAGUGGGGAAGAUUGGACAAUGGGGGGAACCCUGAUCCAGCCAUGCCGCGUGUGUGAAGAAGGCCUUAUGGUUGUAAAGCACUUUAAGCGAGGAGGAGGCUCUUUUGGUUAAUACCCAGAAUGAGUGGACGUUACUCGCAGAAUAAGCACCGGCUAACUCUGUGCCAGCCGCCGCCGUAA
rnacentral:rRNA from 1 species